GGGAUAAAUGUAAUUUGAUGUCUUUACUGAAUGCUUUCAUGGGUCUUAAAAGAUAUUUUAAUAGACCUAAAAGUCUAUUUAUAAACUAUCCCUUUUAGAGAUCAGAAAACAUAUUCACUUCUGUAUUCUGUGUACCUAUUUAAGUUGUGUCCAAAUUUAAAGUUGUUCAUAACUUAUUAACUCAGCACCUUUUCUGAAUGCUCCUUCCCAUGUAGUCUUUAUUUACAGGAUCCUGUGCUGUUUGCCCUAGUAUCAUUCUGCCUCCUGCAUGAUGUUCUUUCACAUUUUGGACUCAAAUUCCCUUCUAACAUGGUGGGCAAAGGAGUCAGCCAUGCAAGAAAUUAGAAGCAAAGACUACACUAUGUUACUGAAUGCAAACCUGUUACCAGCACAAAUCUAGGUCCCUUUGGCAGGAGGGAAACCAACCUUGCACCAGCAGCAGAGUGUUUGCUGGCCUGUGGGUUAGAAACACCGUGUCACUGCAAAUCCAGUUAGACAAGUGUGCGCCUGCCUCCCUGACCUCUUCCACUUGGCAGUCUUUUCUUUGCAUUUUUGUCUGAGAGGCUGAUGUGGGAGUGAAUAAUGGAAACCAAACUGCCCCUCCAGCCCUCAAGCUGGUCCCAGUACAUCCUGGUGCACAUGCAUUGGCUGGGUGAGGUGAAGGAGAGAUUUCAUCAUUGCGGCAUAUGGGUAAGUAGAGUCCAGUGCAAUCAGCCGAGUAUUUUUCACCAGCAUGAAAUGAAAAUGAGGAGAACAUUUGAUGUAAAGGCUGUCUGUGGCUAUGCAAUGGGCAGGUGAUCAUACCUACUUUUGCUGCAGCAGAGAAGGCAGUGUAACAGCUCUCUGGAGCGAGUAUCCCAGGAGAGCAUCUAUUUUCUUGGGGCUGGGGGCUCAGAUGUAGCCCUGGGCCAGAGACAGUACAUCCAUGCAGGAUUUCCAGCUUCUGUUUGAAAGUCUGGGUGACCUUCAGCAUUCCUGCUAUGCCUGUGCAAGCAAAGCUCCCCACUCUGAACUUUCUUUGGUUCGCACACCACUAGUAAGAGGGAAGAUGUUGUAGGUAAAGCAUCGAGAAAUGGGUGCAAAGGAGAAAGGGUCUGUGACUCUGCCACCAAGUUCUUGUGCAAAUCAUUUCUCACAUCUGUGCAUCCAUUUCCAAUCUGUGAUGUGAAAAUAGCAGUACUUCAUCUCACCCAUGCGCUGUUGUCCUAAAUUAUAAAAUCUUCCAAGGAAAAACUGCUUAUUCCCAGGUUAAUAUACAGAGUCUAGCCCCACAGGGCACUUUUUCCCCUACCUGUUUCCUCAUGUUGUGUCUGGGCUUUGCAAUGACUGUCAUGAGGGGUAAACCAUGACAUCUUUGUGUUACGUGCAUUUGUGUCCAGCCUCGAAACGUUAUUUCAUUCCCUGAGGUGUGCGCUGUUAUCAGGCGAAUGAAAUGUCCCAGUCCCCUGGUAAUUAUUCAUUAGGUAAGAUUUAAUGUGUGUGUGCGUGCAGGGCUGGCAGCUACAAGUGGAUCCCACAGGAGAGGUCUGUGAGCCAAGCUUAUGUCAGCUUUAGUGUAGGGAUGGGUGAGUAACUGGAGUAAAAAUAACAAAAUGGUAAGAUCAGUAGCAGUUUGCCCAAAACUUAACCCAAAACCUUUUCUUUUCAUCCCAUGGCCAAACUCACCAUUCAGAUCAGAAGGCUAUGAGACUUGGGGUGGAUUUGCACGCACAUUUAGAACAAAUCACAGAUCUGCACUGCAGCAAAGCAAUGUUUGGGACCCAAAUCCAGCUGCCACCUGUGACUGUUCAUUCUACCCAUACUUCACUGAGGUCUGAAAGAUGUAUUUAGCUGCUUGUGUUUCUUAUACACUUGUUCCCUGUUUGGUACCAGGAUUACUGUUUUCCUGUUCAGAAGACUGCCUCUGCAAUAUUUCUUGGCUGAGUAAGGGUGGCAGCCUUAGUUGCACCAGUUUUGACCAGAGAGCAUCUGGAAGUCCAGGUGAAUAUAGGCACAAGCUAACGAAAAGCAUGCAAACACACGGUGGACAUUAUACCAAAGAAAUCGAGUGGAAAGAUAUUACUUGGCUGACAGAUAAGAGUGGGGGAUUGAUGAGACACACAAAUCUCAGACAAAACCCUGUUCCUCUGGGAGUUCAGGCCUAAGACUGGACUGGUCGAUGUCCAGCUGUCCUAAGCUGCUUGAUGUAAGAACUUGACACUGGUGGGAUAGACUGGACUUCGAGGCUUAUUUAAAAAGAGUCUGAUACAUUACAGGUGUGGAAGAGAGCUGCUUGGGAGCUGUGGGAAGCAAACCUCUUCUUGCAGGCUCCAGCAGCAGAGACAUUUGGAAGGGGAAGAGCACUGGUGACAUUACAGCUCUCGGGGCUCUGGAAAUUCUGCCUGUUUAGCUUUUCUUGGUUUCCACCAUCUUCUGUUCUGUCUCUGUUGUUCACCCACAUAAUUACGUAAGAUAUUACCAGCUAAAACUGCAUCUGCCGCCUUAAUAGAUGGCUCAUUAUCUAGGGAGGGAAACAGAAAGGGCAAAAGCUUUUAUGUGCCAACAGCACAUGUUGAUGUUCAUGUGCACUACAGGAGAAGGAAAGGGUGUAACUCGUCUGUCCUAAUUUAUGGCCAGAUGGGCUGAAAGAGUCAAGGUGUAAUGAAGGUCAGUGUGGCUGGGAAUGGGGUAGAGGCAGUGCAAAGUUACUCUCUUGACAAAAAAGCAAUUAAUUCUCCAACAAAGUCCCUCUUUCGUGCAGCAGAACAGAGUGAAGCAGUUCUUGCUGUAUUUAAAAGUACUCCCACAGCUUUGAUCUUUUCCUCUUUUCUGGAAAUGUAAGCUUGUAAAGAGGGUCUGGCCUCUUCUGGGAUGAUGUAUUGGGCCAUGUGGUGCUGGCCUUGCAAAGCAGCGUAGGCAAGCCUGCUGUUCUCUGUACUGUGUCAUUCUGGAAAAGUCUCCUAAUAUUCUGGUUGCUGCAGUAAUGGCAACACACUGCUGCAAUGCCCGGGUACCCUGCCUGCUUGGAAAUACCAUGACAUCACUCCUUCUCCUAACAAUGUUUUUUUGUCCAGGUUUGGCCACACACAGGAUAGUUAGCUAUGAGUGAAAAUGAAAAAGCAAAUGAUAGAGAACAAGUUCUUCUACCAAAACUCCAUCUCCAAGGACCUUAAAAUGUGGAAGUGUGUAACCACACUAGCUUGCAAGCAACCCUUUAGCCCUGCAUACUCUUCAGUGUCAGAUAUAUCCCAUUCCAAUCAGUACAUUGUGGCAACCAUCUGUAGACAGGUUUUUCUUUUACUGAUGUUUAAAAUAAAUGCUUGUUUUGAACUCAGGACAGAGCUGUAUUGGCUCCAGGUAUCAGGCCUGGUUUCAGUAGAGCUUGUGGCAGAUAUGUACUGAUCUAACCAUAUGGUGGUGGGUUUUGUGCUGCUACCAAUGCUGGCAGGAGACCAAAAUGUUGCUGUGGGCUUCCCCAGCCAUAAAAAUCCAUGAAGUUUUGCAGCUGUAGUUUCAUUUCGUUUCACUGUCUGACUAAUCUUCUUCUUACUUGAUUUUCUUUUAUUUCCUCUAUAGGUUUCCCGCACAGAAAAUCUAAGAUUCCAAGUUGCAUUUUGAGAAAGUUUUAAAAUUAACUUCUCCAUUUAUGCGAGAUGACCGUGGGUUUUGGUAAUAAAAUGUGCCGGGGGCGGGGGCAGAGAAGACUUCUCAGUAGGGGGUGAAUGCUGACGACUUUAACAAAGUCACGGUGUAAUAUGCUGUUCUGCUGACUUCUGCCUUCUUUAAUUACCUUCUGAAUCCUGAGAAGCUGAACCGUGCCUCACCAGCUCAUUAUGUCCCCCGGGUUUGCUCUCCCCAACAAAUAGGUGCUUUCUCUGCAGUCUCUGGAGGCUCUUUGUUGCUGCUCUGAUACAUCAGAUGUGUUUGUUUUGCACAUUGAUGUUUGUGUUUUCCGCACUGCUUGUGUUUUCCAAUUCCUUGGAGCAGUGAGGAUGCUGCUGAAUUGUCAGAAUCGAGGUAGGAUGCUGACUUGAGGUUACUGUCAAUGGCCUCAUUAUGUUAACAAGGGAUAUUUUAAGAAACACAAAAGAUGUGGCAUUUACUUUCUUGGGAGAGGGAGGGGAGAGAGAGAGAAUGUGUGUGGAUGAAUGAACUUACACAGCACGUCACCCCACUGUUCAGUUAGAAAUGACUGACUGGCUCUCUCCACAUUGUUUGCUAGCCAGAGCAGCAAUGGCUUCUGAUUUGUAUUCCUGGGCUGCUCGCAGUGUGCUUGGCUCACCCACGCGUGCAAGGCAAUGCGACCUUUCUUCCUGAAGAGUUCCUCAUCUCUGUCCUGGGGUGUCUGGGUACCUGAAAUGGGCACAGCCUUAACAGGCACAGCAACGGGACGUGCAGCAUCACAGCAUCUUCGUGCAGAUUUACAAGAUCACAAAGCAGUUGCCUUCUCAUGUGUGGAAUAUCAGCAAACCCUCCUCCACAAAACUGAAAAUAUUUUUAAUAAUAAAAUGAGGGGUGAGAUUUUUCAAGCUUGCCUGGGGGAACAGAACAACUCAUCCCCCUACGAUGAAAAAGGACUGGAUCUCUGCAUUGCCUGGGCAGCCCUGCUUGCGACAUCAUAGCUGGAACUUCUUAGUCUGUCACAUGCCAAGAAGUGACAGCAGCAGAGGACCUCUGUUGUGAAUGCUGGCCAUGCACAGAUAGAAAAGGAUCUGUUUCAAAAACAAAGACCUCCUGGGCUGUACUUCUGUGGGUGUCUGACUGCAGUUUUGUUCAAAUAUAAGUCAAUCACCUUAGUUAACAGCUCUACCCAAGAGGCAGCUGUAGGACUGAUCCAUAAUAGGACUUCAUAAUGCAUUGCAAGCAUUGUUUUACUGCAGGUUUUAUUACACAUGGAGUAUUCGCAUCACAUCAGCUUCCCAUGGCAUGAGGUGUUUAUCUCCUGGGUGAGGAUUAGCACAGCGCUGUACCGUGAAGUCUAGUAUAGCUGAGUAAGUGGUUUAGCAUAAUCCUCCUGAGAAGGAUUGCUGUCCUGAAGGGAUUCUUGGGAAGGCUCUAUGCCUGUACCAGGCUUUUAGAUGACUUACUUUCAGUCAGGUUUUCAAGGGGGCUUUUUGGAGUUUGUGCAGCUUUUCUGUGAUGCAGUCUGUCUCCAAGACAUCUGGGCAGUGGUUGGGUCAGCAAAGACCAUCACAAAGCUUAAAGACGAUUGGUGUUGCUGUGUGAAGAAGACCCCACUGACUCAUCAGAUGAUCAAAGUAUGACUCUGACAAAUGGGCACGCCAGGACAGAAUUCAAACAGGGUCCUGCCUGGACAGUUGUGUUUGCUCUUGAUGUCUGGCAUAUAUAGAUGUUGAUCGCCAACAUACUAUUGUUUUGCAUUAAGACACUUUUGGAACAGCAAAUCAUGCUCAGCACUGCUCUAGGAGUGCUCUGCAGUAGCCGGAUAAGAGUGCUGCCACUGCAUGGUCCAGGCACUUGGAAAUCUGUUUCCUAGUGUUUAGAAUAAAGAGCAAACAGGAGCUCCUCAAAGUCACAGCAAUUUGCAUCCUAUAUCCUCUCUUCUUAUUUUGUUAUUAGCCACUUGGUGAGAUUUUCUGGUCUGGGUUAUGUAGGAAAUUUGGUCCCAGUUCACACAUCUCAAGUGCAGAAGAGACCUUUGAAUUAAAGUUACUAAACAAACUUUUCCAACAGGAAAAGAAACCAAGCAAUACCACUCUGUGUUAGAGUGACAUUUCUAGACUAAGAAGGUCAUACACAAUGACAAAAGAGAAUGUCCUAUACAAUAACAAAACAGAAAUGAUGGUAGCUACAACAGAAGCCUUGAUAGUGAGGGAGAUUUUAAGCAGUCCAGAUACAAAGCAUAUCCUUGGGGGCCUGGCAAGGAUGCAAACUUCUCUCCCACACAACCUCAGUCACUCUUGAAAAGCCAAGUUCCGCAAUUUUAAAAGGCAAAAAUAUUACAGCAACAGCGACAACAAACAUGAAAAGCAGAUGUUAAGUGAUUACUAAUGAUCUUAUCAAUGUGUUGUAUAAUUGGGAGGGAGAGGAGGGAGAAAGAAGCACUCAACAUUCUCAAGUUUAUUUUUUAAUUAUUCAACUAUUAUCGAUGGGACUAAAGCAAACUAACACCAGGGGUUUGCAGAGAGGUUUCAACUUUAUAAUGGAGAAGGCAUUGUGGUGUUUGGGGGAGGAGGGCAAAUGGACUCCUGCAGUACAAAAGAAGCCAAAGUAAGAAUCAAAUACCAAGAUGUGUGGAAGGAUAGGGCUUUUGCCUGGACAGCUAAUUGUAGCUUGUUUUUUCAGAACCCGAAUGCCUGGAGACACCUACAACAGAUUGAAAUGUGUAUUGGUGGGCAUCCCAGCGUGGUACUCAUGGGGUGGUCUCACACCCACGCUGUCCCGCUAGCGGUGCUCCAGUGCAGGCACUUGCCAUGUGCUUUGCUGGGGCAAGCAGA